rnacentral:lncRNA from 1 species
AAACAUGGACGUGCAGCUAAGGAACUUCCAGAUCUGGGGGCCUAAACAUAGACGUGCGCCUGAGGAACUUCCGGAUGCUACGGCCUAAACAUGGAGGACUGAGGAACUUCCAGAUCCGAGGGCCCAAAGAUGGACGUGCAUCUGAGGCACUUCCAGACCCGGGGGCUUAAACAUGGACAUGCACCCCAGGAACUUCCCGAUCCGGGGCCUAAACAUGGACACCUGAGGAUCUUCCGGAUCCUAGAGCCUAAACAUGGACGUGCGCCUGAGGAACUUCUGGAUCCCGGAGCGUAAACAUGGACGUGCACAUUUGGAACUUCCGGAUCCGGAUCCUGGGGCCUAAACAUGGAUGUCUGAGGCACUUCCGGAUCCGAGGGCCUAAACAUGAACACUUGAGGCACUUCCUGAUCCGGGGGCCUAAACAUGGACGUGUCCCUGGAACUUCUGGGUCCUUGUGCCUGUAAAGGGAGGGCAUGACUCUCAGAAGGGACGUGGCCCAUGAAGGGGAGCCGAGUAUGGGGCCUGUUGGGGGCAGACUGAGCUGUCACACCCUGAACUUGAAUGUGACGGUGGCCUCACUUUCCGGCCUUCCCCUGGGUGUCACUUCCUCCCCUUCCAGGCGGUGCCAGGGAGGAAGUGACACCAGGUGCAGGGGCCAGGCCCUGAGGAGGGACACCAUCUUUCUCCUCGCUUAGCCAGGUGCCCGGCCUGGCUGGGGACAGGGACAUCUCGUGACACUGGCUGCCUCCUGCAUCCCUGCCCCAGGACCUCAGGGACCACAGGCGGGGACAGUCGUUGACAUGAUUCUCCCCUGGCCGCUGACCCUCAGCCCCCAGGGUCUGCCCAGGGAGAGCUCUGUCUCCCAGAGGGUCAGGGGGCCCCUGUGACCUGCUGCUCCUUACCCACCGUCAUCCUGGGCGAGCAAAGGUCAGGACACC